CCUACGGGUGGCUGCAGUGAGGAAUAUUGGUCAAUGGGCGGAAGCCUGAACCAGCCAAGCAGCGUGCGGGAUGAAGGCCCUAAGGGUCGUAAACCGCUUUUGCAAGGGGAUAACACCCUCCACUUGUCGAGGUCUGCGGGUACCGUGCGAAAAAGGACCGGCAAAUUCCGUGCCAGCAGCCGCGGUAAUACGGAGGAGCCGAGCGUUAUCCGGAUUUAUUGGGCUUAAAGGGUGCGUAGGCGGGCGUUCAAGUCAGCGGUAAAAUCCCGUGGCUCAACCGCGCCCCGCAGUUGAAACUGGCAGCCUUGAGUUCGCAACAGGCAGGCGGAAUGCGCGGUGUAGCGGUGAAAUGCAUAGAUAUCGCGAGGAACGCCGAUUGCGAAGGCAGCCUGCCGGGGUGCGACUGACGCUGAGGCUCGAAGGUGUGGGUAUCAAACAGGAUUAGAUACCCGAGUAGUC
rnacentral:rRNA from 1 species